GCUUGUCUCAAAGAUUAAGCCAUGCAUGUCUAAGUAUAAGUAAUUAUACUGCGAAACUGCGAACGGCUCAUUAAAUCAGUUAUCGUUUAUUUGAUAUUGCCUUACUACAUGGAUAACCGUAGUAAUUCUAGAGCUAAUACAUGCGUCAAGUUCCGACCUUCGGGAAGGAAUGUAUUUAUUAGAUAACAAAACCAAUCCGGUUCUGCCGGUUCUUUGGUGAUUCAUAAUAACUGUUCGGAUCGCAUGCCCUCGUGGCGGCGAUAGGUCAUUCAAAUUUCUGCCCUAUCAGCUUUCGACGGUAGGAUAGAGGCCUACCGUGGCGGUAACGGGUGACGGAGAAUUAGGGUUCGAUUCCGGAGAGGGAGCCUGAGAAACGGCUACCACAUCCAAGGAAGGCAGCAGG
rnacentral:rRNA from 1 species